GAACGCUGGCGGCGUGCUUAACACAUGCAAGUCGAACGGAAAGGCCCUGCUUUUGUGGGGUGCUCGAGUGGCGAACGGGUGAGUAACACGUGAGUAACCUGCCCUUGACUUUGGGAUAACUUCAGGAAACUGGGGCUAAUACCGGAUAGGAGCUCCUGCUGCAUGGUGGGGGUUGGAAAGUUUCGGCGGUUGGGGGUGGACUCGCGGCUUAUCAGCUUGUUGGUGGGGUAGUGGCUUACCAAGGCUUUGACGGGGAGCCGGCCUGAGAGGGUGACCGGCCACAUUGGGCCUGGGAUACGGCCCGGACUCCUUCGGGAGGCAGCAGUGGGGACUAUGGCACACUGGGCGGAAGCCUGAUGCAGCAACGCCGCGUGCUGGAUGACGGCCUUCGGGUUGUAACCCGCUUUCGCCUGUGACGAAGCGUGAGUGACGGUACUGGGUAAAGAAGCACCGGCUACCUCCGU
rnacentral:rRNA from 1 species